GAGUUUGAUCGUGGCUCAGGAUAAACGCUGGCGGCGCACAUAAGACAUGCAAGUCGAACGAACUUAAUUUAAUAUUAUAUCAAAAGACGGUUAGUGGCGGACUGGUGAGUAACGCGUAAGCAAUCUGCCUAUCAGAGGGGAAGUAACAGUGAGAAAUACAUUGCUAAUAACCGCAUAAUGCCAUAAGAAUCACAUGAUUCUAGU
rnacentral:rRNA from 1 species